rnacentral:rRNA from 1 species
CACGGGUGAGUAACACGUAUCCAACCUGCCGUCUACUCUUGGACAGCCUUCUGAAAGGAAGAUUAAUACAAGAUGGCAUCAUGAGUCCGCAUGUUCACAUGAUUAAAGGUAUUCCGGUAGACGAUGGGGAUGCGUUCCAUUAGAUAGUAGGCGGGGUAACGGCCCGCCUAGUCUUCGAUGGAUAGGGGUUCUGAGAGGAAGGUCCCCCACAUUGGAACUGAGACACGGUCCAA